AGGCGGGUGGAGGCGGCCCCCGGGGCGGGAACAGGGGCAGGGGAGGGACGGGGAAGGGGCGAGGGGGCGCGAGGCCGCCUCGGUGAUCGCGGGUCGGCCGGAGAAUAUGGGGAGUUCCGGAGCGCGGGUCCGGCGGGACGGACUUGGGGCCGUGGCCCACUCGGCUCCUGAGCCUGCCGCAGGGGUCACCGCAUCACCCGGCGGCGGCCCCUUUAUGCGCUGCCGCCCGAGCCGCCGCCGCCGCCACCGCGGUAGCUGCCUCUUCCUUCUAGGCUCAGCGCCGCCUCCUCAGCCGCCGCGGAUCCCUCCGCCAGGGAGCAAGAGCCCAGGCCUCGGGCUCGGCCGGCGCCUCUGGGUCGGACGGUCGGAGGAACUGCUUGCUGCAGAUCACCCGACCAUCCCCAGAGCAUAGACGGACCCGAGAAGAGCACUUAGGUCCAUUGCAAUGUUCCUGAAGGAGGAAGGGACUUGUCCAAGGUCACACGGCUCCACAGUGGCAAAGCUGGGACUUCCCUUAAGUCGAGAGUUUCGUCAAAUCCCUCUCUGGAAUCCGCGUGGCAACAGCCUGGGCACCUGCGGGAAUGUGGUUGUACAAGCACGCCGCAGGCAGCCCUGAGAUGGUGUUUCCGACGAAGGCCCCAGCUGAGAGACAGUUUGAAUGUCUCAGCCACUGGCAUGUCAGGAGAAGUGCUCUGCUUGGGCUUCCCUGGUGGUGAAGAAUCCGUCUGCCAAUGCAGGGGACACGGGUUUGAGCCCUGGGCCGGGAAGAUCACACGUGCCGCAGAGCAACUAAGCCCGUGUGCCACAACUACUGAGCCUGCGCUCCAGAUCCCACGAGCCACAGCUACUGAGCCCACGUGCCACAGCUACGGAAGCCCGCACGCCUAGAGCCUGUGCUCCACAACAAGAGAAGCCACCGCAAUGAGAAGCCCAUGCACCACAAUGAAGAGCAGCCCCCGCUCGCCGCAACUAGAGAAAGCCCGGGCGCAGCAACGAAGAUCCAAUGCAGCCAUAAAUAAAUAAAUAAAAUUAAUAAAUUAAAAAAAAUAUUGCUAUAGUGAAAAAAAUAUACUGCUAUAGUGGAUAUUCUGUAGUUGAUCUUUGUACAACUCUA